rnacentral:rRNA from 1 species
GGGUGCGAUCAUACCAGCACUAAUGCCCCGGA